ACCACCCAAAGCAGUGGGUUCGGUGGGAUCAGUUUGCCUUAGAACAGAACCUUAUAAUCCCCAUUCUCUACGCAAUCUUUCUUUAGUAUUAUCCUUAACUUGUUUCAGAAGCACUUAGCUUUAGGGCUAUACCAACUGCAAAUUAGACUUCCCAUUCUGUUUUAAAUCUUCCGUGCAGACGACAAAGAGCAUCAAUUCGAUCUUUACACUUUAUACAGGAAUUUCCAGUUCUUUCCACUCCCUUUCCUUCUUCAUCUAAUUCUUCUCUGUAUUUCCCUCUUUUUCCGACCCCUAAAUUUUGAACCAGUAAGGAUGAUAUGGGUGGCUUAUUGUCAUAUCUUAAGCCUAAGAAAGAAGUUAUUAACGGUGGUGGAAGUAUUAGCAGCGGCAACGGCAACAUAGUCACUAGGAGAAGAACAUCUUCAUCUUUUUCAUCUUCACAUUAUCCAACCAUGUCUAGAGAACAAUCACUGGGUAAUUCCACCAGUAGCAGUCGAGCAAAGGAUGCUGCUCUUCAAAAGGUGUUAUCAAUCAAGAAAAAAUAUGCUUUUAUACCUGACAAUUUUUCAUCCUUGGAACAGGUUACAGCAUCCUUGAGAGAAGCUGGCUUGGAAUCAUCAAAUCUCAUUGUGGGCUUUGAUUUCACUAAAAGCAAUGAAUGGAC
rnacentral:misc_RNA from 1 species